UUGCCCUUUAGUCGAGGGGAGUUUCCUGAGAAUGGUUUUGCCUGCAGAUGGGUGUGAGCGUGGUCGAUGCUUCUGUUGCUGGCCUUGGAGGCUGCCCCUAUGCCAAGGGAGCAUCAGGAAACGUUGCUACAGAGGACCUGGUGUACAUGCUGAACGGCCUGGGCAUCCACACGGGUGUGGACCUGCAGAAGCUGAUGGACACGGGAACGUUCAUUUGCAACGCGCUGAACAGGAGAACCAACUCCAAGGUGUCCCAGGCGUCCUGCAGGCUGUGAGGCGGGACCCGGCGUGGCCCCGGAGCCGGCCGAGCCUCCCGUGUGUGUCGCUACCUCUCCUCCGUGUGCCUUGGACUCAGCAGAGAGCAGCCGCUGGGCGCUGCGACGGAACGGGCACGGACAUGGACAUGGACACGGGCACUGCCCCGGGCACUGCCCCUCAGCACGCUCCGUGGGCCGGGACGGCCCCGCCCUGCCUCAGGGGGGGGGGAGCAGGGCCCAGGGCCCGGCCCCAGGCGGCCUCCGGUGCCCGCAGCGCGGGGCCGAGCCCUGCUGAGGCGCCUCCGGGCCCGGGCCCCCCGCGGCCUCCCUCAGGCUGCACGGGAAGGACCGGGGGGGGUUGGGGCAGGGCCCCGCUGUGCGCGGUGUUUGUGACAAUAAAAAGCCCCGGGCCCCCCGCGGGGCCCCCCCCGCCCGGGCCCCGGCGCUGGCGGUCUGGGGGGGGGGGGCGGGACCGGGGCUCCGCGGCCGUUUCCGGUUCCGGCCGCCGGGGGGCGCUGCGGGGCCGCGCUGCCACCGCCGGGCUGGGCCAUCUGCGCAUGCGCAACCCGUGGCGGUGCCACGUUGCCAUGGAGAGCGGGGGGGGCCUUAAAGGGGCCGCGCCCGGCACCGGGGGGGGGGGGGGGGGGGAAGGGGGGGGGGGGGCGGGGCGGGGCCGGCCCCGGGGGGCUCCCGGGGGGCGGGGGGCUCCGUGCAGCGCCGUGGGUGGCCCCGCUCCGCCCCCGGCCCCGCCCCGCUCGGUGCCGGUGGGGUCGGGACGUGGCGGCCCCGCCCCAGCCCCAGCCCCGCGGCCAUGGCGGGCCCCGUGCUGGUCACCGGCGGCGCCGGCUUCAUCGGCAGCCACUGCGUGCUGCAACUCGCACAGGCGGGGUACGAGCCCGUGGUGGUGGACAACCUGCACAACGCCAUCGCAGGU
rnacentral:lncRNA from 1 species